GACGUAGGGCGCGAGCGUUGUCCGGAUUUAUUGGGCGUAAAGAGCUUGUAGGCGGUCUGUCGCGUCUGCUGUGAAAAUCCGGGGCUCAACCCCGGACUUGCAGUGGGUACGGGCAGACUAGAGUGUGGUAGGGGAGACUGGAAUUCCUGGUGUAGCGGUGAAAUGCGCAGAUAUCUGGAGGAACACCGGUGGCGAAGGCGGCAUCCUGGACCGGUAUUGACACUGAGGCGCGAAAGCCAGGGGAGCAAACGGG
rnacentral:rRNA from 1 species